UACGGAGGGUGCAAGCGUUAUCCGGAUUCACUGGGUUUAAAGGGUGCGUAGGUGGGUUGGUAAGUCAGUGGUGAAAUCUCCAGGCUUAACUUGGAAACUGCCAUUGAUACUAUCAAUCUUGAAUACCGUGGAGGUCAGCGGAAUAUGUCAUGUAGCGGUGAAAUGCUUAGAUAUGACAUAGAACACCAAAUUGCGAAGGCAGCUGGCUACACGAAUAUUGACACUGAUGCACGAAAGCGUGGGGAUCAAACAGGA
rnacentral:rRNA from 1 species